AUUUUUGCCGGUUGUUCAAAUAUGCCCCAAGUCUCGGGGUUUACCGGCCCAGAGUUUGAAUCUGGCUCAGGACGAACGCUGGCGGCGUGCUUAACACAUGCAAGUCGAACGAUGAACCACUUCGGUGGGGAUUAGUGGCGAACGGGUGAGUAACACGUGGGCAAUCUGCCCUGCACUCUGGGACAAGCCCUGGAAACGGGGUCUAAUACCGGAUACUGAUCCUCGCAGGCAUCUGCGAGGUUCGAAAGCUCCGGCGGUGCAGGAUGAGCCCGCGGCCUAUCAGCUAGUUGGUGAGGUAACGGCUCACCAAGGCGACGACGGGUAGCCGGCCUGAGAGGGCGACCGGCCACACUGGGACUGAGACACGGCCCAGACUCCUACGGGAGGCAGCAGUGGGGAAUAUUGCACAAUGGGCGAAAGCCUGAUGCAGCGACGCCGCGUGAGGGAUGACGGCCUUCGGGUUGUAAACCUCUUUCAGCAGGGAAGAAGCGAAAGUGACGGUACCUGCAGAAGAAGCGCCGGCUAACUACGUGCCAGCAGCCGCGGUAAUACGUAGGGCGCAAGCGUUGUCCGGAAUUAUUGGGCGUAAAGAGCUCGUAGGCGGCUUGUCACGUCGGUUGUGAAAGCCCGGGGCUUAACCCCGGGUCUGCAGUCGAUACGGGCAGGCUAGAGUUCGGUAGGGGAGAUCGGAAUUCCUGGUGUAGCGGUGAAAUGCGCAGAUAUCAGGAGGAACACCGGUGGCGAAGGCGGAUCUCUGGGCCGAUACUGACGCUGAGGAGCGAAAGCGUGGGGAGCGAACAGGAUUAGAUACCCUGGUAGUCCACGCCGUAAACGGUGGGCACUAGGUGUGGGCAACAUUCCACGUUGUCCGUGCCGCAGCUAACGCAUUAAGUGCCCCGCCUGGGAGACGCCGACCUUCU
rnacentral:rRNA from 1 species